GGCCUGAUGGUCUAGUAGUAUGAUUCCUUGUUAGGGCUUUAACAUAGCAAUCUCGAGGAGGUCCCGGGUUCAAUUCCCGGUCAGGCCC